AGGGUUAUAGCUCAGUGGUACAGCGCAUGCUUUGCAUGUAUGAGGCCUUGGGUUCAAUCCCCGGCAUCUCCA
rnacentral:tRNA from 1 species